rnacentral:rRNA from 1 species
CAGUCGCCACGGGAAUACGUAGGGUGCAAGCGUUAAUCGGAAUUACUGGGCGUAAAGCGUGCGCAGGCGGUUAUAUAAGACAGAUGUGAAAUCCCCGGGCUCAACCUGGGAACUGCAUUUGUGACUGUAUAGCUAGAGUACGGCAGAGGGGGAUGGAAUUCCGCGUGUAGCAGUGAAAUGCGUAGAUAUGCGGAGGAACACCGAUGGCGAAGGCAAUCCCCUGGGCCUGUACUGACGCUCAUGCACGAAAGAGUGGGGAGCAAACAGGAUUAGAUACCCGCGUAGUCCCUGUCUCUUAUAC